rnacentral:lncRNA from 1 species
CUUUGUUUUAUUAUUAAUAUUACUUAUACUGUUUGGUCUGUUUUAGUGAUAUCCAUUUGACGUGGCUCGGUACUUAUACAUCCCUUCAAUGGGUUUGUAUUAUCUUUCAUUUUUGCUGGUGUGUUUUGAACGUGUGACUUUAUGUGUUUCCUUGGUACAUAUGACGUGGCUCUGUACUUUUAAAGAUCCCCUUUUAAAGUUAUUUCUAUUAUAAUGCCAUACUGUUAUUGUCUAUUAUAAUUUUGAAAAUACUUUGAACGAACAAAUUAUUUAACUCGCGUAGUGGUAUUAAUCCUAUGUGGAUUCUUAAAAAUUCUAAAGAACUUCUGGA